AACAAGCCAGGGCCCGGCAACAGAAGCUUGCACUGUAAACGCUCCCCCCGCGCGGCGGACACAGCUCCAGGCUGGUACCGCGCGCACACGGACGCCUCGCAGGACCUGGGCUAAUAAGGAGAGGAGAUCGGCACGGUAUAGCUGUGGACCAACUGUAUAUGAUCAUGCGCACCUUGGCCAUGCUUGCUCAUAUGUUAGAUUUGAUAUCAUUCGAAGGAUCCUAACCAAGGUUUUUGGAUGCAACAUAGUCAUGGUGAUGGGUAUUACAGAUGUAGAUGAUAAAAUCAUCAAAAGAGCCAAUGAGAUGAAUAUUUCCCCCGCUUCCCUCGCCAGUCUUUAUGAGGAAGACUUCAAGCAGGACAUGGCAGCCCUGAAGGUUCUCCCACCCACGGUGUACCUGAGGGUAACCGAAAAUAUUCCUCAGAUAAUUUCUUUCAUUGAAGGAAUCAUUGCUCGUGGGAACGCUUAUUCAACGGCAAAAGGCAAUGUCUACUUCGAUCUGAAGUCUAGAGGAGACAAGUAUGGCAAAUUGGUCGGCGUGGUCCCUGGUCCAGUCGGAGAGCCAGUGGACUCU
rnacentral:sRNA from 1 species